rnacentral:sRNA from 1 species
UCAGGGUCUGCAUGACCCAGUUGGGAACAAGGAUCCCAUGUUGAUUGACUCCCCACCUUGACAAGUAUCUUGUUGUUGGGAUGACCAGCAUGUGACUAUUGGGACAAGAUAGAAGUAUUUACAAAGCCAACAGUUUUGACCAAUUUAUGCGAAUUAGGGCAGAUUUGAGAGUACACUUAAGAGUUUUAAACUUUGUUUGAAAAAACAAAAAACAGUGUUCUUGGAAUAGUUUCUUUGGAGUAGAGCGCAUAAGGCCAAAUUUUAUCUGAUUGUUGGUGAGCACCUGUGGGUUUUUGUGUUCCUUAUGUAGUAUCCCUUAGGUUUGGGUCGAACAAUGUAAACCUUAUCAUUUCCACUGUUUUUAACAUCUCAAAUGAUGUCCCACGUCCUAGGUGCCAAUCCACAAAUGCCCACUCCUACAUCUUCUCCCUCCUCCCUCCAUUUUGCCACUAUGAUGCUGCUCUAAACUCACCCAACUUUUCGAAACCCACCACUCCAGCCUCCUCCUACGUUCGAGCAUCACAUCUCCACAGGACCAAGGGCCUUCCAUCCCAUUGGUUUCAAAUAAUGCCAUCCUCUGAUAUAUAUUGGUUGGUGGUCUAUUUUCUGGGAAGCUCUGGGUCAUCAGCCAGCAUAUAUUGUUCUUCCUCUAUUGCAGGACCUCUCUGUCACAGGACAUCCACUGUUUAAGCACCACCACUACCUCAGGAAGUCCACUGUCUGUGUGUCAACUCCCACUGUUACAGGACCACAAGUGUCUCAGCACUUCAACUAUCACAGCACUUCUACUGUUCAGGAGCUCAAGAGUCUCAGCAUCUCAAGUGUCACAGGACCUCCUUUGUCCAAGAACUGGACUGUCCAAGCAAUACUGCUAUUGCGGGACCUCCACUGUCACAGGAUUUCCACUGUAGGAGCACUACAACUGUCUCAGGACACCCACUGUCCUAUAACCUCCACUAUCCCAGGAAUUCCACUGUCGUAGCACCACCCGUAGCAACUAAAGUGUUUCAGGACAUCAACUGAAGCAAGAUCUCCCAUGAUUCUGCAACUUCACUGCCCCAGGAUCUCUACAGUGACAGGAAUACUUCUGUAUCAGCAAUUCCAAUUUUGCAGGACCUCCACUGUAGCAGAACCUCAAUUGUGCAGCAGCUCCCCUGUAUGUAGAUUGACCUCCACGAUCUCAGUGCCUCCACUUUCAAAGGACCUUCACUGUCACAGAACCGGCGCUAUUUCAGUGCCUCCACUGUCGCAGGACCUACCUCUUCACAGGAUCUGCACUGUUGCAGCAACUGUAAUUUCAAUUUUUCAAAGUCAUUGCUGGUUAUUAGAUUUCAGGCUGAAUGAAAUGAGAUGUUACUUUUGAAAGCAUAAGAAUUUGUUCUAUACCUCUUGUGAUAAAUGCCGUGUUUGCUAGGACCAGUAAACUAUGGAAGACUUCUUCAGCUCAUACCACUCUCCACCUCACUUUGUGGAAGCUGGUGUUUUUAGAGUGUGAUAAACUUCAGGUGAAUGGAUGCAUUCAGCUGCACCACGCUCUAGAGUGGACUACACAGCAGUCAUAUUGAGUCCUUGCUGGGAAGAGAAGAAAUCCAGAAGAAGGAGAAGGCUUGGGUUGGGGGAAGAAUCAUAAAAUACUUAGAGGAUAUUAGAAGGUAAGAAUUAUGGGGAACUGGAAAACAGAGCCAAAGGAAGAAUGAGCACAGAGCAAACUGGGAAGGACAAAGUACAAAGGCACUUGGGUUUUGCCAUCUGCGUGUUCUCUGGACAAUCUCCCUGGGCCACAUUUCUGGGAGAAAACUCUUCCCCCACCCCCUUGUAAGGUUUCAUUCUUGAAGGAAAGCAGCAACACAACUUCAUCAGUGAAUUUCCCCAUUGGAAUUGGUUCAUCCUUUAAUGCUUCUGGGAAAUCCCGAGCUGGGGAAUGUCCUGCUCUCUGCUGAGAGACAGCAGGAAAGUAGGUCGUCCUCUGUUUUCUCGUUGCUACAGCUCUUCUAAGUAUGGCUGAUUGUUGAGUGAAGACACAGGAUACUUCUGGUGUGUAUGUAUGCUUUGUUCACUGUGGGUGUUGUUGGGAGUGUCCUGAAAAGAAGGGCAUGCCCAAUGGCACUUCUGCUUCCUCUUUGACUAGCCUUAUGAUCAUAGGGAGACACUAGGCCAUUGGAAGAUGAGGAGAGCAAUGUGUCUAAGUUGUGUUCACUUCUAUUCCUAUUUAGUCCUAGAGGGAAAUCAGCAAGGGUGUGAGGAAUGCUGCUGUGCACUGACUGUGUGGUGUGAGGAAUGCUGCUGUGCACUGACUGUGUGGUGUGAGGAAUGCUGCUGUGCACUGACUGUGUGGUGUGAGGAAUGCUGCUGUGCACUGACUGUGUGGUGUGAGGAAUGCUGCUGUGCACUGACUGUGUGCUGUGAGGAAUGCUGCUGUGCAUUGACGCUGCCUUUUUUCUUUUCUCCCUACACCUGCAUCCUUCUGGUGGCUCAGGUUGGACAACUAGGUGCCCAUGACCAACUCCUCAUUGUGGAUGGAUUUAGUCUGGUUGGACUUUCUCAGGAAAGGCAGCUGAACUCAUGACUAGUACCAGUUCCACGGUUACCCUGGAAGUUGCAAAUCAAGACAUCCUCUCUCACUGCCUGUCCACCUUUCUUACCAACCCAUUGUCCUCCAUGGUGCAGAGAGAUCAGCCUCCUAUUCCUGGAGAGAAGUGUGCAUAUACCACUAGAACAGCAGCUAACAUCUGUCUCCACUGGAGACCUCUGCACUGAGGUCUGAGAUGACCUGGAACACUUUCUUACUUGUGAAAUAUCUGACUUCUUUGAUACAGUUCUCAACAAAUUACAUUAACUAUCAUUCCUGAAUUUUGUUCACUGAAGUUUUAUUUUUAUUACGCUACUCAAGUAAACUAAUACUAAAUUAUUGAAUCUGGGAAAAUGAGAAUUAGUGUAAAUGAGUAAAUAAGAAAAUGUGAAAUGUUUUUUUAUUGAAAGCAUAGGGUCAACAUUACAUUUUUAGCACAGCAUUUAAAAUACAUGCUUUUUAGAAAACCAUUUAUUUAUUUCCUUUAUAAUCCAAUAUUAGCCCUUCCUGUCUUCCCAGUAACCCACCAUACAAAUCUUCCCUCCAUCGCCCUUUCCUGAAAUGGCAAAGCUCCUUUCGGGAUUUCAACCCCCUUGAAUGCUUUUUAAAAGAUUGUAAAACAGAUCCCUGAGGAAAAAGUACGCCUUUUAUGCAGGUUUAAGCAUCUGAUUGUUUAUUUCUUUACAUUUCACAAGAGCAGACCCCUCAACCUAGACCUGGUUAGGAGCUAAAUUGCAGGAGUGACAAUGCCACAAACAGCAUGCAUCAGUGUAUAGAAAAAUCUUUUUAUUCCUUCAUAGACACAGGAACAGCUGGCUACUUGGCGGGUGAGCCAUAAAGCAGUGUCAGGUCUGGUUAUUCACCCAUUCCCCAGUUUUUGUUACCUCCUCUGUGAGGAAGAAACAUGCAUGAAAUUUUGCUAACAUCUCUGGUGAGUCCCUGAAGUAGUAGAGCUUCCUCUUUUCUUUUCUCAGCCUCUUACCACUUCCAAGGAAGAACUUCAGGAAGAGUUUUACCUACUUGAGCUCCAUUGAGUAGAGGCUGGCAAGGGUCUCUAGUGUGACAGUAAUAUGUGGAUCCAGAGCUCCUCAUUGGAAUCUGUGACAUCCAGACAGGAGCACCUGAACCCUUCCUCCAAGUCAGUUACCCCUGCUUCCACUCUGACUAAGAGUGGUCCUGGCCAUUGGGAAACCCCAGCAGAGGUGCUGGCCACCACUGUUACUGUCUCCCAGCCCAUAUGAACAGACCUCCCUCCACCACCUCCUCUACCACAGGUCCACUACACCAGAUUUUGGCGGCAUUUUAGUGGAUUUGCCCCUCCCACCACCUUCUGCAAACAAGGCAGGAUCCCAGUCUGUUCAGGUGGCUGCUGGCUAGCAAAAGAGAGUGAGGAGCAGCAGCGGUGGUCUGAGAUAUAGAAGGCCUGCCUGGACAAGGAAGCAGAGAGGAAGCACAGGGAGCAGGAGAGGAAUGGGUGACAGAUGCACUCUCAUUCCCUGAACCUGCUUCCUUCUCUUCUUUGACCACACCGACCAAACCAGGAAAACCUUCCACACUGCAGAGGCCCAAGAAACAGUCAUUCUGGUGUUGUAGUCCCCGCAGCAGCCCCCCACUAUUGAGCACAGGGAUCUGCAGUUCAUAACUAUCAGUAAAGAGGAGUUGUCCUCUGGGGAGUCUGUCUCCAGACCCAUGGAAACAAGAUGCCAGGGAGAAGCUGGAGAAGCAACAGCAAAUGCACCUUGUGGAUAUGCUAAGCAAGGAGAUCCAUGAGCUGCAAAACAAGGGGGACGGUAGUGCAGAGGAGAGUGACUGCCUGUGGAAGAAUAUGCUGGAGUGGCAGUUCCAGAAGAGACUUCAGACCAUAUUUCUUGUGUUUCUCCCAGGUUCAUUUCAGAAUACUGUUCAAGAAGCUCAACAUUUGUCGUUUACAUAGUAGAAAUUUAUAACAACAAUGUUUUUGCCCUUCUUGCCUUAGACAGUUCUACAGUGGUGUCUAUGGUUAAGUGCCAGGCAGUGAGAACCCAGGAGUGAUAUUCAGAGGUACAAAGGAUGACCUGCAGGAAUGACUGCAUAUGGUCAACACACACUACCCUGGAAGACCCGAGAGUUCAAGGACGGCCAACUUUCACUUAAGCAAACUUGUCCACAGACUGCGUGGGUCCCAUCAGCUGAGAGUAGCCUCCACAUUGCAGUGAUGUGCAAACUUCUGCCUUUCAGCCAUGAUGGACUUUAGGAUCUAACCUGAGGACCCUACACAAGGCACAGGUAGGUGAUGUGUAAAUGAGGCAUGUUACUGGGUCAGGUCUUCAGUGCAGUGUCUUAAGCUGUCAGGCUUUUGGGAGGGCAUAUGCUUCUCUAUUAAAUGAGCUGGCUUCUCUGAAGGCCUCAACUCUGCUGUGUCUGCCGCUCAUGCUCCCUCCUCCAAGAAUCUAACUGUCCCUAGCUCUCUGUGACUGGCUGGUCAGUCAGCCUUCAUGCCACUCCACAGCCACUCUACAACACAGAGCCCACACUGUCCUCUGCAGAAGUUUCACAGGGCUGCUGCUUUAGUCUCUCUGUUGCGCUAUGGGGGUCCAAAGUCAAGUUUCUUAGGUCCCUAGGUGUCCCUGAAAAGGCUCUAGAACAAGGAAGAGGUGAAGAAAUCAGGAAAUAAACUCCUGCAGUACUUCAUGACUACCACUGGAGGGCUCUACACCUUUCUGGUCCUAGUGUGCCACUCAGCAAGCCCUCUCACUCACUCUAAGGUUCUGAGCCUGAUGGAGAGGACUCCUGCUAAACCCAGUGUUCCCAAGAAACUGGCUGUACCGGCAGGGCUAACUGUAGAGGAUUCUCCACGACCCUGAGAACACAAUUUGGAAAUCUCAGGUAGGCAGGGUGUGUGGGGGAGCAACCAGGGCUGGAUGGAGACCUUACCCAGAA